ACAAUCUACUGUUUUUCAUAGGAAGAAGGCCAAGAUCAAGAUACUGUAGCUGAAGAAAAUUUGGCGUGGAGGUUUCUUUCUUUUUCCCAGAUUAGUGUUUUGUUGGAACAAAAUAUAGAAGGAGUUCAAAAGAAACUGGAGGAGUUUCUGAAUUUCAGACAAGUUAAAACAUCUUUGAAGGAAGCUGUUUUACUAGAUUAUUAUGGAUCGGGAUUUUGGUGGGCUAAAGAAAGGGACUUCACUCAUCUACAGCUCUCAGGAUUCAUGGCUGUCUUGAACUUUGUAUUGGAGAACAUCAGCACCAAACAUAUGACACUAGAGGACAACAUAAAAGAGCUUGGGAGAGCAAUGGCUGGAAUAGGGGAGUCACAUUCAGAAAAAAGUGGUGGUCUGGAUUUCUUCAGUGUUGAUCAAGCCAAGGCUAUAAUCAGUUACUUGAAGAGCAGCUUAUUUCAACACUACAAACUAUAUGAAUAUCUUUUCCACAGUCCCAGGGAAGAACUUGUAAUAGGCAUUGAUGUAAGUAAUUUAUAUGAAUAGAACUGAUUGAGCAGAAUUAUUUAAUGCAUGUCCUAUGACAUCUGCUUUAUAAAGCUCAAAGCAACUUAGUCAAAAUUGCUCAAGUGUUAACAGUACAGAACAGAAUAUUAAAAGUUAGGUACAGUGAUAUAUGUCUUCGCAAUGAGUUAGGAUUUAGAAAAAAUGUGAUUUUCUUAGCUGUAAUGUUAAAUCUGUUGAAUUAAAAAUAUCAUUCUGUACAGUAUUUGUAAUAAUGAUUUUCAAGAGUUUAAUUGAAUAAUGCAUGGCUCUACUUUGAGAUCAGUAAUCAAAAUCAGAAAAGAUUACAUACAAUAACUCUGUGAGUACCACAAUUCUAGGAUACGUAGACCCAUUCUUUUUAAUGGUAACUAUAAACAAGACUAAUAUUGUUUGUAUUGGAACAUUUUAAUUAGAAAUGUAAUAUUUUUAAGGCCACGUUUACACUGUGUGUAGACGUGGCCUUAAAAGUGUUAUAUGUCUAAUUAAAAUGUUAACUGUAUUAUGGUUGAUUUCUUAUCACCGGCUAAAUAAAAGAAAUUAAAAUUUUGUUUCAUUUUAGAGACUACUGCAUUUUAUCUGUAACAGUAUAGCAGGGCAUGUUAUCAUUCACUGACUGAGGUGAAUCCUGGUUCCUUGAUGAAACUAGCAAAAACUCCCACUAAUUGAAGUAGAUUCAGGGUUUCACCCUUAGUCUUCAUUUUUUUUUUCUAGUAUUAGCUAAUCAUGUAAAUGAUUGGUUCACGCUUGCAUAUUGGCAACAUUAUUUUUAAAAAGUGAAGCUUCAGUUAAGAGUGUAUUAUAAAUUAAUUGAAAAUCUUUUAAAAUUGUUUUUACGUAAAGCUCAUUUCUGAAUGGCUAAAAUCAAUUAUCUGAGUCAGUAUGCAGCUAUUCAGUGAUGGAACAGUGAAUAAAUGUCAGCUAUACCCAAUGUCUACCUCUCAAAAUGACACACCAUCUUCUUUAUUAAUCAUUUGGUGCAGUAGGGAUAAAAACACUGGAAAAGAAUACUGUCAUGAAUGAAUAUCUCUGUUUGUCUUGGCAUUUAUCUACCAUCAGACACAGUUAUCCUGUGACAUUCAGAUUUCCCCUAAAAACAAACUUAUGGUUUGAAACAUAUCAGUGAUGAAAUUGAAUGUGGAUAAAUAUAAAGUAAUGCACGUUGGAAAAAAUAACCGCAACUAUACAUACCAUAUAAUGGGGAUUAAUUUAGCUACAGCUAAUCAGGAAAGAGAUUUGGAGUCAUCGUGG